GUGCUCUUCCAAUCUGGUUGAGAAAAAUGGUGAUGCCUUAACCUGUUCUAGGGAACAGAGGAGGAGAGACAGAUUUGUUGGGGAGAAAUUUGUUGGUAAAUUUGGUUUUUUACCAAGUUGAGCAUAGGGCACCAUGCACUUCUGUAAUUUUAGCAGGCAUUUGGAAAUAGGGGCCCAGGCCUCUGGAGAAGUAAAGAAAUGCAAGUUUGAGCCAGCUGCCUAAAGGUAAUAAUUGAAGAUGGAAAGUAACUUAUCACAAAAAGGUGAGAGAAUAGAACACAGCUAAAGACCAUUUGAGAGGCUCUGAAAUAUUGUGGAGGAAUUUACUGAUCCAAUUUGAAGUCAGGAAGGAUUGAGUGAAGGUUGAAUAAUCAACAUUUAUUAAAUGUUGUUAGAUGCUAAGAACCUUACUUACAUUGCUUUGGUGUCCUUUUUGGGUUACAGUAAUUUAAAUUUAAUGGCAUUCAACAUUUGCUGGAAAUAGGUGAAAAUCUUAGGAGUAGGAAAGAUAUGUGUUUGGAUAAAGACGAAAGUCAGAUGUCAGAAAAAAUCAUGUUCGGCUAAAGGUAGGCUAUUUUCCUGGGUGUGUCUGUGGGUUGCAACUCCAUUCAAUGGCAGUGGAUGUUACAUAUAAUGGAAGGUGUGGAUAUCCACAACGUGAUGCUUGCCCUAGGCUUGCGUUAUAGCAGAACUGCAUCACUAGAAUGAUGGAUUAUUCAUCCAAGCUUUUUAAACAUUUUUGACAUACCUAUGUACCAGGUACUGGAAAGGUUCAUUUCUCACAAUGUUUAUGGCAACUCUAAAGUGUUUUCCAAAAUGUAGCCUGCAAAGUACAAGUCCAAAGAAGUAAACAUUCCAUGAAAAAAAUUUUUUAAUGAGGUAAGAAAACUGCUCAUUGUUAAAAAAAUUUAUAUUUAAUAUUUGCAUAUUAAGGACUAAAAUGUCUUAUUGAUAUUUGUUUAAGUUUUUUUCCCCAGACUGAUUUGACCAUGGACCAUUUAUCUUUCCAUAUAGCAGCACCAAUCAUCCUUUUGCACAUUUUGGGAAAUGUUGCUACUAUGGAUUUUGCCAGAAUAUUUCUAUGUUCUAGCAAAGUAGACAUCCUAAAGUUGUGUGUGGCUUAGGAGUUUUAUUUUGGCCGACUUCAUGCAUUCAGUUCAGCACAGAGCUGUGUGUUGAUGGUGUUUAUACAUUUCAGCAAGUUUCCUUCACGUUUCUCCUUGGAACAGAUGUAAAUAACGGGUCACCCAGGCCUUAUGGAAGUAGAAAAAGUUCUGUGGAGUGAGUUAGAGUGGGUAGGAUGAUAUCAUUUGAAGAAGAUGAUUGGGAGAGUCUGUUUAGGGGUAUAAUGGUUAGAGCAAUAGUUCUAGAAUGAGGUAAACCUAGAUUUGAAUCUUGGUCCUGCCCCGAAGCUGUAUGACUCUAGGCAAGUGAUCUAACUUCCCUGGGCCUCAGUUUCCUUAUCUGUGGAAAGGAGUUUCUGGUAUAUAACUCAUUAGAGGUGUUUUCAGGAUUAAGUGUUCAGUCAAAUGUUUUACCAUAGUGUCCAUGGAAAACUUCUAAAUGGUAAGUUAAUAAUAAGGAACAGCUUUUGCUGAUUGCCUAAGAAAAUAUUUGAAAAUAAAAGUAAAUGUGAACCUGUUGUCUUUCCUGGAUGUACAAUAAAGAUUUAAUAAAGUUCUAAUUUCCUUCCACCUUACAUCUAUUUUCCUCCUUUAUCAGGGUUCCGGCUAGAAGCAUUUCUUCUUUCCCUUCUCUGUUGUCCUUUAUCCCUUAUGUCCUUCCCCCUUCCCUGCCCAACUGUGGAUUGUAUGUGAAUUCCAUUUCCAACUCUAAUUUUUCCUAAUAUGGCAAAUUUUUCUUCAUAGAAACCUUUUCUAGAUUGUGUUAAACAUUUGUGAUAUUUUCAGAAAAGAUAUUUAAUUUUUUCUGCAGAAUUAACCUAUGCAUAAAUUAUGCAAAUACUGGAAGCUUUACCUCCUUUCGCUUGAAUGAUUUUGGUUAAUGAACUAACAGUUGUUUUUAGGUUUUGAGAAGGCCAUGAAUUUUUCAGGUAAGAAAAAAAUCCUAUUUGUCCAUUCAUUUACUUCAUUCUAAUGGCAUUACCAGGAGAUUCUGUAAUAUUCUUUGCUCAAAGUCUGACCCUCUGUAAAUGUCCUGAAAAAAUACUUGGCCUAUGUGCUUAAAAAUGUUCCUGCAUCAUUGAAAUAGCAAAAAUUGAAAAUUACUCAGUGUUUACCAGUAGGGGACUGAUUAAAUUGAUAUGUAAGAAUGGACAGCUGUUAAAAAUAAGUAUGUAGCAUGCAUGUGGAAUCAGCAAAACCCUGGGAAACUUUACAGGUUAAUUGGCCUGUUAUUUUCAACAAAUUGUAAGGAAAAGAAGGGGAUGAAGGGAGAACUUCUAGAUUAAAAGACUUGAAAAAUAUAUCCAUUUAAAAAAAUAGAUGAUGUUUUUGGAUUUACACUUUGUGUUUACUGUACAAAUCAGGAUAGUUAUAUUUUGAUACAGAGGAAGAGGGCUGUGAUGGGAAGGGGGCAGGUGGAGGGCCAAGGGCUUUUGGGCUGACUGGACAGCAUUGGGCUUGGGAUUUGAUUUUUACCCCAAUUACAAACUAAUAGUUAGCCUUUACUACAUGGAUGGUGGCAGAGGAUAUGAAACUCUUGUUAGUGGCACUUCAAGCAGCCUUGAGCUUGAUGUUUGUAUUGGUUUUCCUUGCUCCCCAAAUUCCACAGGGUGACAUAGAAGGCCCAGAAGAAUGCCUGCAUGUGCAGUGGGUUGCAUUACAGAACAAUAAAAUUGAAUUUGGGGAACCUGCUGGUUUGUAGCAAGCUGUAAGCAAGCCUGCUCUCCUGUCCCAGAGGGAAACAUUACCCUUUCUUUAAAGUUGCUCACAGCAAAUACAACCCUGAAAAUGACCAGGCAAAGAGAAUGGUCAGGCCCUUGGGUUCACGACCUAAGCAUUAAACUGCAAGGAAGCCCCAGGGCCCAUGGCAGAUAGCGUCUUCUAACAGCCAAAUUGGAAAUAGGGUCAUGGCAGACAUAAAUAGUUAAGAUGAGGUCAUACAGGAGGAGAGAUAACUGGAGCAAUCCAAAAUGACUCUCGUCCUUAUAUAGGGAAAAUUUGGAGACAAGCAUCCUGGGAGAAGUGAUGUGAAGAUUGUAAUUAGGCUGCUUCAAACCAAGAACUAUCAGAAGCUAAGAGAGAGAGGCCCGGAACAGAUCCUUCCCCUAGCCACCUUUAGGGGGAGUGUGGUCCUCCCGCUGACACCUCCAUCUUGGGCUUCUAGCCUCCAGAACUCUGAGACAGUAACUUGCUGUUGUUUAAGCCACUUAGCUUGUGGUACUUUGAGUUGACAGCCCUAGCAAAUGAAUGCAUUUCCCAUGGUACAUUUGUCAAAAUUAAGAACAUUGGUAUGUUACUAUUAA